GUUUUCAAUCCGCACUACUUACCAGUCAAUUGUCGUCUCCUUCACGGUACAUGCAGGGUCUUCUCAGUCAACAAUCACAAGGGUGUUCUCUAAUUCUAUCCUUAACUUGAAUGGAACCAGUAGGAACGGAGAUCCAGAGCAAAAACUAAAUGGGUCAUCUUUGUUUUUCGUUUAUGAUCGGUACUAAUUUGCUCUCUCUGUUAUUCACACUUUCUUUUGCAGUUGACAGCAUUAGUCCCUCCCAGUCUAUCCGUGAUGGAACGACCUUGGUUUCAAAAGGUGGAAGCUUUGAGCUUGGUUUCUUCAGUCCAGAUACUCCCGAGAAUCGUUACUUGGGAAUUUGGUACAAGAACAUCCCAGUUAGAACUGUUGUGUGGGUUGCAAACAGAUGCAACCCCAUUAAUGAUUCUUCCGGCAUCUUGAUGAUAAACAGUACGGGACAUCUUGUGCUGUUAGGUCAGAAUAAGAGUGUCGUUUGGUGGAUAAACUCAGCUAAACAUGCCCCAAGUGCAACAGUAGAGCUUUUGGAUUCUGGGAAUUUAGUACUAAGAGAUGCAGGAACCUAUUUGUGGCAAAGCUUUGACUAUCCUUCUGAUACGUUGUUACCAGGAAUGAAGAUGGGAUGGGACUUGAGGACAGGUAUAAAACGGAGUUUCUCAGCAUGGAAAAAUUCAGACGACCCGUGUCCAGGAGAUUUCACUUAUGGGAUUGAAAUGGAACGUGAUACUUAUCCUGAGGCAUAUGUUCGGAAAGGCACUGCAAAAUACUAUCGUACUGGCCCAUGGAAUGGCCUGAGAUUCAGUGGUUCACCAGAAUUAAGGCCUAAUCCACUUUAUAGUUUCGACUUUGUCUAUAAUGAUGAGGAAGUAUACUACAUGUACAACCUUCAAAAUGAGUCUGUAAUCUCAAGAAUAGUUUUGAACCAAACCACCAGUACUCGUGAUCGCUUGACGUGGAUUGAAGCAGAUCAAACUUGGAGGGCCUAUUCAUCAGUACCAAGAGACUGUGUGAUAAUUAUGGCGUCUGCGGAGCCAAUGGAAAGUGUAUCAUUGGUGAGAAUCCAGUCUGCCAAUGUCUAAAAGGAUUCAAGCCUAAGUCUCAAGAAAAAUGGAAUUUGAUGGACUGGUCUCUAGGAUGUGUGCGCAAUAAACCAUUAAGCUGCCAGGAAAGAUAUAAAGAUGGCUUUGUCAAAUUUGUUGGCUUGAAACUGCCAGAUACUACACAUUCUUGGGUGAACAAAAGUAUGAAUCUCAAGGAAUGCAGAACCAAAUGCUUGAACAACUGUUCCUGUAUGGCUUAUACAAGCUCGGAUAUCAGAGGAGGAGGUACUGGCUGCGCCAUCUGGUUUGGUGAUCUAAUAGAUAUCAGGCAGUUUCCAGCUGCUGGGCAGGAUCUUUAUAUUCGAAUGUUGGCUUCAGAAUUAGAAAGUGGUGGUAAAGUGAAGACAGCAAUGAUAAUUGCAGUUUCCGUAGCAGUAGUGUUUUCUGUAGUGCUGUUAGUUGGAUAUUACCUUCACCGAAACAGGAGAAAAUUAAAAGAGAUAGGUGAAACAAAUAUGAACAAUGAAAGGGAACCAGAGGAGGAUCUGGAGCUUCCGCUCUUUGACCUGCCCACAGUAGCUAGUGCCACAGAUAACUUUUCAAGCAAUAACAAGCUCGGAGAAGGUGGAUUUGGACCCGUUUACAGGGGGACACUACUAGAUGGACAAGAAAUUGCUGUGAAGAGGCUUUCAAGAAGUUCUGGCCAAGGAUUGAAUGAGUUCAAGAAUGAAGUUAUACUGAUUGCAAAGCUUCAGCAUCGAAAUCUUGUAAAGCUUCUUGGAUUCUGCGUUCAAGGAGAGGAGAAAAUGCUGAUUUAUGAAUACAUGCCCAACAGAAGCCUGGACUCCUUUAUUUUUGAUAGUGUGAGAGGAGAACUACUGUUAGAUUGGCCUAAACGUUUCCAUAUUAUUUGCGGAGUUGCUCGGGGUCUCCUCUAUCUCCAUCAGGAUUCCAGGCUAAGGAUUAUUCAUCGAGAUCUCAAAGCAAGUAAUGUUUUACUUGAUAAUGAAAUGAAUCCAAAAAUUUCAGACUUUGGCUUGGCUAGAACAUUAAUUGGAGGAGAUCAGUCUGGUGGAAAUACAAACAGAGUAGUUGGAACAUACGGUUAUAUGGCACCUGAAUAUGCUAUUGAUGGGCUGUUUUCUGUCAAAUCGGAUGUAUUUAGCUUUGGUAUUUUGGUGCUGGAGGUCAUAAGUGGACGGAAAAAUAAGGGAUUCUACCAUCCAAACCACAGUCAUAACCUUAUUGGACAUGCAUGGAGAAUGUGGAUUCAAGGAAGGCCUUUAGAACUGAUUGAUACGUGUUUAGAAAGCUCAUGUACUCUAUCGGAAGUGUUACGUUGCGUCCAUAUUAGUCUCUUAUGCGUGCAACAUCAUCCCGAGGAUAGACCAAGCAUGGCAUCUGUGGUUAUCAUGCUGGGAAGUGAGAUUGCAUUGGCUCAGCCCAAACAACCUGGUUUCUUUAUAGAAAAGGAAUCGCAUGAAGUAGGCUCUUCUUCAGGUAAUCAAAAAUCUUCAACAAACGAAAUAUCGAUUACACUUUUGGAGGGCCGUAGUUUAAUGGGUGAACUUUAUUUUGUGCUUAUCAGUACUAAUUUGCUCUUUCUGUUAUUCACAAUUUCCGUUGCAGUUGACAGCAUUAGCCCCUUGCAGUCUAUCCUUGACAACACGACCUUGGUUUCAAGUGAUGGAAGCUUUGAGCUUGGUUUCUUCAGUCCAGGUAGUUCCACGAAUCGUUACUAGGGGAUUUGGUACAAGAACAUCCCAGUUAGAACUGUUGUUUGGGUUGCAAACAGAUGCAACCCCAUUAAUUAUUCUUCCGGCAUGUUGAUGAUAAACAGCACAGGCAAUCUUGUGCUGUUGGGUCAGAACAAGAGUGUUGCUUGGUCGAGAAGCACACGUAAACACGUCCAAAGUGCAAUGGUACAGCUUUUAAAUUCUGGAAAUUUGGUAGAAAGAGAUGUGAAAGAUGGAAAUACAGGAACUUAUUUGUGGCAAAGCUUCGACUAUCCUUCUGAUACAUUGUUACCAGGAAUGAAGUUGGGAUGGGACUUGAGGACGGGUCUAAAACGGAGUUUAUCAGCACGGAAAAAUUCAGAAGACCCGUGUCCAGGAUAUUUCACUUUUGGGAUUGAAAUGGGACAUGAUACAUAUCCUGAGGCAUAUAUUUGGAAAGGCACUGCAAAAUACUAUCGUAGUGGCCCAUGGAAUGGUCUGAGAUUCAGUGGUGCACCAGAAUUAAGGCCUAAUCCACUUUAUCGUUUCGACUUUGUCUACAAUGACGAGGAUGUGUACUACAUGUACAACCUUCAAAAUAAGUCUGUAAUCUCAAGACUAGUUUUGAACCAAACCACCAGUACUCAUGAUUGCUUUACAUGGGUUGAAGCAGAUUAAACUUGGAGGGCCUAUUCAUCAGUACCAAUAGACUUGUGUGAUAAUUAUGGCCUCUGUGGAGCCAAUGGAAAUUGUAUCAUUGGUGAGAAUCUAGUCUGCCAAUGACUAAAAGGAUUCAAGCCUAAGUCUCAAGAAAAAUGGAAUUUGAUAGACUGGUGGGUUUGUCAAAUUUAAUGGCCUGAAACUGCCAGAGACUACACAUUCUUGGGUGAGCAAAAGUAUGAAUCUCAAGGAAUGCAAAACUAAAUGCUUGAAAAACUGUUCCUGUAUGGCUUAUACAAGCUCAGAUAUCAGAGGAGGAGGUACCGGAUGUGCCAUCUGGUUUGGUGAUCUAAUAGAUGUCAGGCAGUUUACAGCUGCUGGACAGGAUCUGUAUAUUCGGAUGCCAGCUUCAGAGUUAGCUGAAUUUUCUGUUUAUCGUCCCAUCUCUACUGCAUCAUACAACCAUGAUGAAGAAAAUGGCAGUAAAUGGCAGUGGCAAUUGCAGUUUCCGUAGCAAUAGUGCUCUCUGGAGUGCUGUUAGUUGGAUAUUUCCUUCACCGAAGCAGGAGAAAAUUAAAAGAAAUAGGCAAAACAAAUCAGAACAAUGAAGGGGAACCAAAGGAGGACCUGGAGCUCCCGCUCUUCGACCUAACCAUAGUAAUAGGAGCCACAAAUAACUUUUCAAGCAAUAACAAGCUCGGAGAAGGUGGAUUUGGACCUGUUUACAGGGGAACACUACAUGGACAAGAAAUUGCUGUGAAGAGGCUUUCAAGAAGUUCUGGCCAAGGAUUGAAUGAGUUCAAGAAUGAAGUUAUUCUGAUUGCCAAGCUUCAGCAUCGAAAUCUUGUAAAGCUACUUGGAUGCUGCGUUCAAGGAGAGGAGAAAAUGCUGAUUUAUGAAUACAUGCCUAAUGGAAGCCUGGACUCCUUUAUUUUCGAUCAAGUGAGAGGAGGACUACUGUUAGAUUGGCCUAAACAUUUCCACAUUAUCUGCGGAAUUGCUCGGGGUCUCCUCUAUCUCCAUCAAGAUUCCAGGCUAAGAAUUAUUCAUAGAGAUCUCAAAGCAAGUAAUGUUUUACUUGAUAAUGAAAUGAAUCCAAAAAUUUCAGAUUUUGGCUUGGCUAGAACUUUAAUUGGAGGAGAUCAGACUGGUGGAAAUACAAACAGAGUGGUUGGAACAUACGGUUACAUGGCACCUGGAUGGGCUGUUUUCUGUCAAAUCGGAUGUAUUUAGCUUUGGUAUUUUGGUGCUGGAGGUCAUAAGUGGAAGGAAAAAUAAGGGAUUGUACCAUCCAAACCACAGCCAUAGCCUUAUUGGACAUGCAUGGAGAUUAUGGAAUCAAGGAAGGCCUUUAGAACUGAUUGAUACGUGUUUAGAAAGUUCAUGUACUCUAUUGGAAGUGUUAUGUUGCAUCCAUGUUAGUCUCUUAUGUGUGCAACAUCAUCCCGAGGAUAGACCAAGCAUGUCAUCUGUGGUUAUAAUGUUGGGAAGUGAGAUUGCAUUGGCUCAGCCCAAACAACCUAGUUUCUUUAUGGAAAAGGAAUCACAUGAAGCAGGCUCUUCUUCAGGUAAUCAAUCAUCUUCAAGAAACGAAAUAUCAAUUACACUUUUGGAGGUUCGUUAACGAUUGAUUAGUUCGUGGUAACUUAGUUUAUAGAUCGAAGUGGUGUCCUUUAUUGAACAAUAUAUAGGUUGAGUGAUAAAAACCUUUUAGCUAUUCAUGUACAUGCUACCAACUAUUUUUCAAACGUACACUUUGUGAACGAAGCAGUAAGGUUAUCUUAAAGCAUGACUGUGAUAUUUUAAA